GCGCCUGUAACUCAGAUGGAUAGAGUGCAGCCCUGCGAUGGCUGAAGUCGUGAGUUCGAGUCUCGCCAGGCGCGCCA
rnacentral:tRNA from 1 species